AUUGAACGAGGGAGGAAGGAGGUACACAUGCAAGUCGAACGGCAGCACGGGGGCAACCCUGGUGGCGAGUGGCGAACGGGUGAGUAAUACAUCGGAACGUGCCCGGUCGUGGGGGAUAACGUAGCGAAAGUUACGCUAAUACCGCAUACGAUCUGAGGAUGAAAGCGGGGGACCUUCGGGCCUCGCGCGAUCGGAGCGGCCGAUGUCAGAUUAGGUAGUUGGUGGGGUAAAGGCCUACCAAGCCGACGAUCUGUAGCUGGUCUGAGAGGACGACCAGCCACACUGGGACUGAGACACGGCCCAGACUCCUACGGGAGGCAGCAGUGGGGAAUUUUGGACAAUGGGCGCAAGCCUGAUCCAGCCAUUCCGCGUGCAUGACGAAGGCCUUCGGGUUGUAAACUGCUUUUGUAUGGAACGAAAAGGCUCUGGCUAAUACCUGGGGCUCAUGACGGUACCGUAAGAAUAAGCACCGGCUCACUACGUC
rnacentral:rRNA from 1 species